AGGAGAGUUUGAUCCUGGCUCAGGAUGAACGCUGGCGGCGUGCUUAACACAUGCAAGUCGAACGGAACUUUUCUCCCGAAGAAGCGGAGUGCUUGCACAAAGUAGAUUCAUUUGAAAAGUUUAGUGGCGGACGGGUGAGUAACGCGUGGGUAACCUGCCUUACACAGGGGGACAACAGUUGGAAACGACUGCUAAUACCGCAUAAGCGCACAGUACCGCAUGGUACAGUGUGAAAAACUCCGGUGGUGUAAGAUGGACCCGCGUCUGAUUAGCUAGUUGGUGAGGUAACGGCCCACCAAGGCGACGAUCAGUAGCCGGCCUGAGAGGGUGAACGGCCACAUUGGGACUGAGACACGGCCCAAACUCCUACGGGAGGCAGCAGUGGGGAAUAUUGGACAAUGGGGGAAACCCUGAUCCAGCGACGCCGCGUGAGUGAAGAAGUAUUUCGGUAUGUAAAGCUCUAUCAGCAAGGAAGAAAAUGACGGUACUUGACUAAGAAGCCCCGGCUAACUACGUGCCAGCAGCCGCGGUAAUACGUAGGGGGCAAGCGUUAUCCGGAUUUACUGGGUGUAAAGGGAGCGUAGACGGUUUGGCAAGUCUGAAGUGAAAGCCCAGGGCUUAACCCUGGGACUGCUUUGGAAACUGUUAAACUAGAGUGCAGGAGAGGUAAGUGGAAUUCCUAGUGUAGCGGUGAAAUGCGUAGAUAUUAGGAGGAACACCAGUGGCGAAGGCGGCUUACUGGACUGUAACUGACGUUGAGGCUCGAAAGCGUGGGGAGCAAACAGGAUUAGAUACCCUGGUAGUCCCCU
rnacentral:rRNA from 1 species